rnacentral:rRNA from 1 species
GACGAACGCUGGCGGCGUGCCUAAUACAUGCAAGUAGAACGCUGAAGGAGGAGCUUGCUUCUCUGGAUGAGUUGCGAACGGGUGAGUAACGCGUAGGUAACCUGCCUGGUAGCGGGGGAUAACUAUUGGAAACGAUAGCUAAUACCGCAUAAGAGUAGAUGUUGCAUGACAUUUGCUUAAAAGGUGCAAUUGCAUCACUACCAGAUGGACCUGCGUUGUAUUAGCUAGUUGGUGGGGUAACGGCUUACCAAGGCGACGAUACAUAGCCGACCUGAGAGGGGGAUCGGCCACACUGGGACUGAGACACGGCCCAGACUCCUACGGGAGGCAGCAGUAGGGAAUCUUCGGCAAUGGACGGAAGUCUGACCGAGCAACGCCGCGUGAGUGAAGAAGGUUUUCGGAUCGUAAAGCUCUGUUGUAAGAGAAGAACGAGUGUGAGAGUGGAAAGUUCACACUGUGACGGCAUCUUACCAGAAAGGGACGGCUAACUACGUG